rnacentral:rRNA from 1 species
UACGUAGGGUGCGAGCGUUAAUCGGAUUUACUGGGCGUAAAGCGUGCGCAGGCGGUUGUGUAAGACAGAUGUGAAAUCCCCGGGCUUAACCUGGGAACUGCAUUUGCGACUGCACGGCUAGAGUGUGUCAGAGGGGGGUAGAAUUCCACGUGUAGCAGUGAAAUGCGUAGAUAUGUGGAGGAAUACCGAUGGCGAAGGCAGCCCCCUGGGAUAACACUGACGCUCAGGCACGAAAGCGUGGGGAGCAAACAGG